rnacentral:rRNA from 1 species
GAUGAACGCUGGCGGCGUGCCUAAUACAUGCAAGUUGAGCGCUAAAGGCUGGUCUUUGUACCAACUGGAUGAGCAGCGAACGGGUGAGUAACGCGGGGGGAAUCUGCCUUUGAGCGGGGGACAACAUUUGGAAACGAAUGCUAAUACCGCAUAACAACUUUAAACACAAGUUUUAGGUUUGAAAGAUGCAAUGGGAUCACUCAACGAUGAUUCAGCGUUGUAUUAGGUAGUUGGUGAGGUAAAGGCUCACCAAGGCGGGGAUACAUAGCCGACCGGAGAGGGUGAUCGGCGACAUUGGGACGGGGACGCGGCCCAUACUCCUACGGGACGGAGCAGUAGGGUAUGUUCGGCAAUGGAGGAAAGUCUGACCGAGCGGCGCCGCGGCAGUGAAGAAGAUUUUCGGAUCGUAAAACUCUGUUGGUGGUUAAGAACGUUGGUGAGAGUGGAAAGAGCAUCAAGUGACGGUAACUACCCAGGAAGAAACGGCUAACUACGUG